rnacentral:rRNA from 2 species
CUCAGGACGAACGCUGGCGGCGUGCUUAACACAUGCAAGUCGAACGGAAAGGCCCCUUCGGGGGUACUCGAGUGGCGAACGGGUGAGUAACACGUGGGUGAUCUGCCCCAAACUUCGGGAUAAGCCUGGGAAACUGGGUCUAAUACCGGAUAUGACCUUCUCCUGCAUGGGGGUUGGUGGAAAGCUUUUGCGGUUUGGGAUGGGCCCGCGGCCUAUCAGCUUGUUGGUGGGGUAAUGGCCUACCAAGGCGACGACGGGUAGCCGACCUGAGAGGGUGAUCGGCCACACUGGGACUGAGACACGGCCCAGACUCCUACGGGAGGCAGCAGUGGGGAAUAUUGCACAAUGGGCGGAAGCCUGAUGCAGCGACGCCGCGUGAGGGAUGACGGCCUUCGGGUUGUAAACCUCUUUCACCAGGGACGAAGCGCAAGUGACGGUACCUGGAGAAGAAGCACCGGCCAACUACGUGCCAGCAGCCGCGGUAAUACGUAGGGUGCGAGCGUUGUCCGGAAUUACUGGGCGUAAAGAGCUCGUAGGCGGUUUGUCGCGUCGUCUGUGAAAUUCUGCAGCUUAACUGCAGGCGUGCAGGCGAUACGGGCAGACUUGAGUACUACAGGGGAGACUGGAAUUCCUGGUGUAGCGGUGAAAUGCGCAGAUAUCAGGAGGAACACCGGUGGCGAAGGCGGGUCUCUGGGUAGUAACUGACGCUGAGGAGCGAAAGCGUGGGUAGCGAACAGGAUUAGAUACCCUGGUAGUCCACGCCGUAAACGGUGGGUACUAGGUGUGGGUUCCUUUUCACGGGAUCCGUGCCGUAGCUAACGCA